rnacentral:rRNA from 1 species
AUUGAACGCUGGCGGCAGGCCUAACACAUGCAAGUCGCGCGAGCGGCGGACGGGUGAGUAAUGUAUGGGGACUGCCCGAUAGAGGGGGAUAACUACUGGAAACGGUAGCUAAUCACGCAUACUAUCGGAUAACCCAUAUGGGAUGCGCUAGUCGGGGAGGUAAUGGCUCACAUAGGCGACGCUCCCUAGAUGGUCUGAGAGGAUGAUCAGCCACACUGGUACUGAGACAUGGCCCAGACUCCUACGGAGGCAGCAGGGGGGAAUAGUGCACAAUGGGCGCAAGCCUGAUGCAGCCAUGCCGCGUGUAUGAAGAAGGCCCUAGGUGUGUAAAGUACUUUCAGUCGGGAGGCGUUACCGACAGAAGAAGCACCGGCUAACUCCGUGCCAGCAGCCGCGGUAAUAC